GUACCUGCUGUGUAUAUGUGUGAAUUAAGGUCGUGAGGCCCAAACACCCCCAAACACCACCAAGGGACACGCAAACCCAACACCCUCAGACUGUACAGGGGUCACAUAGGGCUCAGAGCGACAUAGCCAAUACGAAAGCAUGGCAUCGGCCACAUACUGACUUUCGCGCCUCACGGUACCACAGACCCAUAUGUAACGCCUAUAAGUACACCCUACGCUAUACUGACAAUGCAACUCACAUACAAGUAGCGGCCUCCAAACCCCCCAAGGGGACACUCAGAACAUCCCAGACGUACCAGGCCUAAACCCAUUUAGACCUACGAACAUCCAGUGCAUACCCCGUACCCCUUCCCCCACCUACAGGCAAUGACUGUCCACUGGCACGCCCACUUGGGACAGUGGAAAUGUACCACAUACCCACCACCCCACCGGGGAGGGGCACAAGAUGUACACCCCCGAGUGGACAACCAGCCCAUGGGUAUGCCCAGGAAACCAGUGAGACAAUCCUCCAUCCCAUCAUACACAGUGUCUUAAGGUAUCUCGACCUCACAGCGCCAGGUUAAGCAAUGAUCCUUGUUUGUAUUUUGUAAGCAAAGUUAACUGUUAUAUGCUAAUGUUAAUGCCUCUGUUCUAUCGUUUGCCAACCUUAUCUAUGCAACUUCAGCUCCACUUCAAUAAUAACAAAGGAGCCCGCUUAGCCACGUAUCUGGAAGCUCC